GAGAAAUUGAAAACAAACCAUCCUGCUGAGGAUUCACAACAAUAUGUGAUGAGCUGCUGAAGCAAGACCAUUUCAGGAACCCCGGCACUGAAAAAACUGAUUUAAUUUCGACGGAGAGGAGGGAAAGAGUGCAGGAAAAACUGAAAGCGAGAGAGAAAGCACGUCUUACAUACAGAGAAAUCCUUCAAAGGGACACUUCUAACAGAUUUGCUGCUAUCUGGCCCUGAGCACACUGACUGGCCAUAACACU
ensembl:lncRNA